GUGAAACAACCUCUACAAAGUCUUGGUUCAGCUCCCCAACAGGGCGAGCCCUUUCUACUUCAAUUUUGGUUCCUUGGCCGGAUGCAUGUAGUUUUCCGAGCUGCUGUCUCAUCUGGUACUCGAACCCGAAUCGGUGAGGUAUGGGCUGCAGAACCCGUAUUUGUUCCUCCUUUCCCGCUACUCUAAAAAAGUACGCACGUGCGGGUAUUAAGUUCCUCUUUCGGAUCCGCUUUUUGAAGAUCUGCUUUCAG
rnacentral:misc_RNA from 1 species